GACGAACGCUGGCGGCGUGCCUAACACAUGCAAGUCGAGCGAGUGAAUCUCCUUCGGGAGUGAAACUAGCGGCGGACGGGUGAGUAACACGUGGGCAACCUGCCUCAUAGAGGGGAAUAGCCUUUCGAAAGGAAGAUUAAUACCGCAUAAGAUUGUAGCUUCGCAUGAAGUAGCAAUUAAAGGAGUAAUCCGCUAUGAGAUGGGCCCGCGGCGCAUUGGCUAGUUGGUGAGGUAACGGCUGACCAAGGCGACGAUGCGUAGCCGACCUGAGAGGGUGAGCGGCCACAUUGGGACUGAGACACGGCCCAGACUCCUACGGGAGGCAGCAGUGGGGAAUAUUGCACAAUGGGGGAAACCCUGAUGCAGCAACGCGGCGUGAGUGAUGACGGCCUUCGGGUUGCAAAGCUCUGUCUUCAGGGACGAUAAUGACGGUACCUGAGGAGGAAGCCACGGCUAACUACGUGCCAGCCGCCGCCGUAAAAC
rnacentral:rRNA from 1 species